AAGAGAGAGUUUUCGUCAUUAUCUCCAAGGACAUCCAACCAGCGUCCUGUGAGUGCUACAAGAUGACGAGCGGUAACGUAGACAAUAUUUUCGCUCUUCUCAACUUGACCCAAUUUACGAGGCCAUGGCAUUACAUUACGAGAAGAUCAAAAAGGGAAUGGUGAAUCGCUCUCGAUACGUAAACUUUCUUUCUCUUACCAUCGGCCUACCAGCG